rnacentral:rRNA from 1 species
AUGCACGUGGCCAGCGCUAGGAAAGGCCAGCGCGCCCGAUCCCCUCGCCCUCUCCUCGAUUCACUCGACCCCCCACUCUCCCUCGUCUCCUCCUCUAGCGCCGCCAACGCACGCGCUGCACCCCAUCUGCCCGAUCCCCUCCCUCAUCUCGAUCUCGCAGCGCUCGCGCCCGAUCCCCUGGUGCCUCGCCCUGCCUUGUCCUCCACAACUCCUCGCCGGGCCUCCACCUCUCCUCCCUGCGCCCUUCGCCAAGGUCGCCCGUUCAUGGCUGCUGCAUGCCCCAACCUUCCCCAUCGCCUGCUAGAGCAUGCCAGCGCCUCCACUGUCGCCGCCGGCGACCGCGCCACCCGGACCCCCGCGGCCUCAAGUCCCUCGCCGUCCGAGCUGCUCCGCUCUGCCGCCCCUACUCCGACCAGCAGGCGCGCCGCCGCCGUCCAGCCGCGCCAUGGCCGCCUCCCUCCUCUGCGCCUCCACCACGUCGUCGCCUUGCUGCCAUCCCCGCCACCGGCUUGCUAUCUCGCUGGACCUCCUGUGCCUCCAAGGUCGCCGCUGCUCUGGCCGCAACCACCUCCGGCCUUCAACCCCGACGCCCGACCCGGCCAUCUUCGGUUGCUGCCCCGCUGGCCUCGUCGCCCCCUCUUGUCACUGCCAAGACGCGGCAACCAGGAACGCCAAGGCCGCCUUCGUGGAUUUCGGCAAGUUCAUCCACCGCCGAACGAGGGGUUUUUGCCUUGCUCAUUUUGGACGCGCUCAGUUCCUCUUCGAAAGUACGUCUUACUUAAUGGCCCGACAAGUACCGUGGCACUGAAGACAUUUGAUGCGUCAAGUCUCUCUUCGACUAGUGUAUCACUACCGUCGAUGAAGACACGUGUAACGCAAGUGUCAAAUCCGACUACAAUGUGUGUACGCCUACCAUCACUGAAGACCCGUGUACGACUACCGUUGACCGUGUAG